rnacentral:rRNA from 1 species
UACGAGGGGGGCAAAUGUUGUUCGGAAUCACUGGGCGUAAAGGGAGCGUAGGCGGGUUUUAAGUCAGGGGUUUAAUCCCGGGGCCCAACCCCGGACCGGCACUUGAAACUGGAAAUCUUGAAUAGUGGAGAGGUCAGUGGAAUUGGGGGUGUAGCGGUGGAAUGCGUAGAGAUCCCCAAGAACACCAGUUGCGAAGGCGGCUGACUGGACACAUAUUGACGCUGAGGCUCGAAAGCGUGGGGAGCAAGCAGG